UGGGCAACCUGCCCCUCUCUCUGGGAUAACCCCGGGAAACCGGAGCUAAUACCGGAUACUCCGGCUGGAUCGCAUGGUCCGGCCGGGAAAGGUCCGCCGGAGAGGGAUGGGCCCGCGGCCUAUCAGCUUGUUGGUGGGGUCAUGGCUCACCAAGGCGACGACGGGUAGCCGGCCUGAGAGGGUGAUCGGCCACACUGGGACUGAGACACGGCCCAGACUCCUACGGGAGGCA
rnacentral:rRNA from 1 species